AACGGACGCUGGCGGCAGGCUUAACACAUGCAAGUCGAGCGCCCCGCAAGGGGAGCGGCAGACGGGUGAGUAACGCGUGGGAAUCUACCCAUCUCUACGGAAUAACGCAUGGAAACGUGUGCUAAUACCGUAUACGUCCUUCGGGAGAAAGAUUUAUCGGAGUUGGAUGAGCCCGCGUGGGAUUAGCUAGUAGGUGGGGUAAAGGCCUACCAAGGCGACGAUCCAUAGCUGGUCUGGGAGGAUGAUCAGCCACACUGGGACUGAGACACGGCCCAGACUCCUACGAGAGGCAGCAGUGGGGAAUAUUGGACAAUGGGCGCAAGCCUGAUCCAGCCAUGCCGCGUGAGUGAUGAAGUCCCUAGGGUUGUAAAGCUCUUUCACCGGUGAAGAUAAUGACGGUAACCGGAGAAGAAGCCCCGGCUAACUUCGUGCCAGCCGCCGCGGUAAUAC
rnacentral:rRNA from 1 species